AGAGCUAAUACACGCACUAAAGCUCUGACCUACGGGACGAGCGCAUUUAUUAGAACCGGGUUUCGGCCCGUGCGUUGGUGACUCUGAAUAACUCUGCCGAUCGCAGCACCGGCGACGUAUCUUUCAAGUGUCUGCCUUAUCAACUUUCGAUGGUAGUUUAUGUGCCUACCAUGGUUGUAACGGGUAACGGAGAAUAAGGGUUCGACUCCGGAGAGGGAGCCUGAGAAACGGCUACCACAU
rnacentral:rRNA from 1 species